UACGUAUUUGUACUCUUUUUACCUUACUAUGGUUUUUCCCAUUGGGUUUUCCAUGACUAGGUUUUUUUUAACGAGGCACUACGUAAUACAAGAUGGAUGAUCAAGGGGGAGUGUUAUAAGAUAAACAUUGAAAUGAUCAUCCACUCAUUUACCAACUCAAGCACUAUGAUCAUCUACUCAUCAAGCACUAUGAUCAUCCACUCAUUUACCAAAUUAAGCACCAUCUUUGUUAUUUUAUUUAUUGUUGUUCACUAUAAAUACCAUC
rnacentral:lncRNA from 1 species